rnacentral:lncRNA from 1 species
AGACCUCCGCCCCAAUUUGAUGCAGGACGAUACUCCGACGCCUCCUACGCUUUCACGAAUGACUACUAUCAAGAGGCCGGUGCUUUCUUCACUCGUACCGACAACACCCUCCUCAACAUUCAGAACACGCAAGCAGAACAUGGAAGACUCCUGGAAGAGCAACAAAAAUGGAACCAGGACCAUGCCGCUGCAGUGCAAGAGCUGAGACAAGAUACAACAACAAUGAACGACAACAUCACAACCAUGAUGCGGUUCUGGAACAUCGGGUAAGACCGACGUCAACAUCCAGCUUAGGGG